AGUCCAUGAUGGAGGCACAACCUUAAUAAUUCUUUAAAUUUGUCCCAGGCAUCACAUAAAGACUCUCAUUGCUUUUUAAGAAAAAUUAGUAAUCUGAUUUCGAAGUU